CGUUGAAACACUGGUUCCCGGACGGUCACCGAAGUUAAGCAACGUCGAUCCUGAUCAAUAUCUAGAUGAGUGAUCGCUUGGGAAUACCACGUGCUGUAAG